AUUGAACGCUGGCGGCAUGCCUUACACAUGCAAGUCGAACGGUAACAGGUCUUCGGAUGCUGACGAGUGGCGAACGGGUGAGUAAUACAUCGGAACGUGCCUAGUAGUGGGGGAUAACUACUCGAAAGAGUGGCUAAUACCGCAUGAGAUCUACGGAUGAAAGCAGGGGAUCGCAAGACCUUGUGCUACUAGAGCGGCCGAUGGCAGAUUGGGUAGUUGGUGGGAUAAAAGCUUACCAAGCCGACGAUCUGUAGCUGGUCUGAGAGGACGAUCAGCCACACUGGGACUGAGACACGGCCAGACUCCUACGGGAGGCAGCAGUGGGGAAUUUUGGACAAUGGGUGCAAGCCUGAUCCAGCAAUGCCGCGUGCAGGAUGAAGGCCUUCGGGUUGUAAACUGCUUUUGUACGGAACGAAAAGCCCCGGGUUAAUACCCUGGGGUCAUGACGGUACCGUAAGAAUAAGCACCGGCUAACUACGUGCCAGCAGCCGCCGCAG
rnacentral:rRNA from 1 species